AGGCCUCGCUGCUCCAGUGCGGCCUUCAGGUCGGUCACCCGCAGCGCCUGAAGAGGCUUCCCGUCCAGAGUCACCUCCUCCAGCUCCGCCAUCUUGCGUGAGGUACUCGGGUCCGUCCCGACGGCUUCGGGCAUCUUCGGCAACUCUCUCCUUUGUACCCUGGGUUCAAGAGGCUGCACCUACCAAGAAUGAGUAUCUGCAGGUGAGCUGAGGACAUUUCUAGGUAUCCCUGAAGAAGAAUUACAUACAUUGUCAAUGACAUGAACUCACCUGUGGUAGUUUGGGGUAUCUGGGUCUCCCCAGACAGCAUGGCAGUACCGUGCAGCAUCUCGACUCAGAAGCAGGGGUCCUUGCACUGGACGGACUUGACAAAAGCCCAAUAGUCCUCCUAGGCUUCCUCCUAGAGCUAACUCUUCUUCUCAGAUGGCUCUGCCCAGCUGACUGAACCCAGCCUUACUUCCCAGGCCCUCCCAUCAAGCUCCUCGGACCUGACUGUCUCCACAGACUUGGCUCAGACUGUGCUGGUGUGAGAAGCCUUUGCUGACCAGGCUCUGGGAGAACAUCCAGCUUCCUUCAGCUUUUCCCUGUCUGUAGAGCCAAUCUCUUCUACUCAGCUCUUUGGAACAUGGAUUCUGUUUCAUGGAAGGAAGUGUUGCCUGAUUCCCGGAAUUACAGCAAACAACUGAGAUGUGUAAAUCUGUUGUCUUUUGGCAUUAUUUUUGGUUUGGAAUGUGAGUCCCUAGGAUAGCUAGAAGCUAUGGAGAGCUUUUAGGACUGUCAUUCUGGAAGGAAUCUGGCAAGAUCUCCUAAGAGGAAAUGCCUGGUGACUCUGUCUCAAAAGGCCACUUAAUCAUCACCACCACCAACUUCGUUUCCAUUUUAAAUUUUAUUACAUCAAAAGAAAAAAAACUCUCCACAGAACAAAUCUCUAAAACCUACACCAAGCAAAAGAAAUUAUCAUUAAGGUUCUAACUCCACCCCCCAAAAACAACCUUACAUUAAAAAAUCCAAAAGAAAUAGAAAUACCGGCUUCAAAAAUAUUUAUCCAAAAAGUAAGGCAUCAACUUUACAAAAAAAUAAUAAUUGAAGGAGGGGAGGAAGUUGGAGGAAUGAGAAGAGAGGGAACAAGAUGGUCCCUGACCCUCCAGGGCCAGCCCCAGCCUCUUGGGCGCGUACUCUGAAGGGGUCACAACUCAGACCAAACUCGGCAUCUCACCAACUAUGGGGUGGGCAAGCUGGGCAGGGAAGCUGGGAGACACCACCCGGGCCAGGAAGGGCACCUGUGUAUUCCAGUUUAAGCAGACAGCAUUGGGGGUUGGGGAGAGAAUCGCAUUUUGUGAUAAAAGGAUCCUAAGUCCUUAGUGCAGCAGGAGUGGCUGGGGAGGCUGCAGGGCCCACAGCAAACUCCAUGGCCUUCCUUGGGAGCUCAGGGAAAGGUCAGAAGCCACCUGUCACAGAGGAGGGCCUUUUCUGAGGACCUCCAGAGUGGGCUUCCUGCUGUCACUGCCCUGUCAUCCUGCCCCUGAGACCUGCAAAGAGGGAGGAGCUAUUGGAGUUGGGGACUGAUGGGAGAGGAACUGGCCUUUAGCCAACGCUCUCCCCAGGAUAUGGAAUGGGUACCUCUGGGGAUGGGCAAGCGCCCUUCCUCCCAAGGAAGGCAUUUCAUAUCAGAUCUGUCUUGAGGGUUAGAAAUAGGGGAGUAUUUUUAGGCCCAGUUCUUGGAUGGGAGGUGACUUAAGGCUGAUUUGGCUCCAAUCUCAGGCCUGAAGGGCUUGGGGAUCCUUCACACCCGGUCCCAAGCCAAGGCCCAGGGAGGAGAAGGGCAUGGUGGGGACGGCAGUGCUGGCUGUGCGGGUGUUCGGGGCAUAGCCAUAGGGAUAGCAGGGGACUGCUCCUGCCCUGGGUGGGCGGGGAGCUGGAGUUGCUGAGCGGCUUCAUCAUGAGAUGCCUACUACACUAAAAAUCAGAAGCCUUUCUGGCCUCUAGAAGCUUUGGCAUCAUGUUGGGGGCAGUAUGCAGGAGGCAGGGGCAGGGGCAGGACUGGGUUUCUGCAAUCUGAGCCUUUCUCAAUAUGUUCCUCAACCAGCCUAGCUUGGGUCUGGUGGGGCCGUUCUUCUCCUUGGUCCUUACCUCUGGGAGGUGGCGUCCUGAGGGGAAGCGAACUCUGGACAGGGAGCCCAGGCUGGGGUGGGUGCAGGUAUGAUGGGGAGGGGCAGGAAAGAGGGCAGAGGGAAACAUCCCCUUGGAUUUUGGGUCCCUGGUGAACAGAUAGGGUCUUGGGUCUCUCCAGCAGACCCCUUGAUGGGGACAGAAUUGCUUGAGCCUGUCCCUCCCCAAAGCAGCCCCUGUGGCCGCCUCUCCUUUCUGAAGGGGGCCUCCCUGGGAGGGCAGGCAGUAAUGAGCUCCGGUUCCUGAAGAGGCAGCUGAGGGCGCAGCCCGGAGGGAGGUCCUGCAGGCCAUCCUUGGCAUCUCCCCUCUCCUCCUGCAGGUGGGAUCAUGGGCAGCACUGGGUGGGGCCUGGGACAUGGGCCCUGGGGCGAGAGGCUGGUUCUUUGGGUAUGAAUGUCAGUUUUUGUUUACAGUUUCUCACCACUCACACCCAGGUCCUAUCACUGCCUGAUGAAAGUAGAGAAAGGGGUGUGUGUGUACUUGUGUGUGUUGUGGGGACCCAGGCAAGGAGGUAGGAUGGAAGCGGGAGAAAGGAGAGAGUAGCCAGCUGAGGGAUGGUGGUCCUCAGGGCUGGGGCUGCCCCGCCAUGUCCUUGUCCUUGUGGGGAGUGGGUUGGUAUAUGGGCUGCUGCUGCUCCUCCAUGUCCUCAUGAGUCUCCUCUGUCUCUGAGCCCCUCUCCACCUCGGGGUACACGACCACACACAUCUUCUGGCUCACCAGGGUUAGCAGCUCUGUGGGAGGAGAUCACACAGAAACCAGGCCAAUGCUGAGCAUCCCACCAACCCGGCCAAGCGGCCCUGGCCCUUCCCAGCUCUCCCGCCCCAGAUUCUGCCUCCUCAGAGCAGUCAGUGCCUUGAGGGGAAUCCUCGCCACCUGGUCUGCCUCUUGCAUCUUCUAUCAGCUGCUCUUUGCUCAUGAAAGCCCCAGUCUUCCACCUUCCCUGUGCCCACUGACCCCCAAGUCCAGGGUCUCCGCUGGUCUCCACCCAGCCUGGAGCAGCUCUCACAGGAUGGCUGACAGGUUGCCUAUGUUAUUUAAAUAUUUGUAUUAAUAGAGGUGGGGUCUUGUGAUGUUGAUCAGGCUGGUCUCAAGUCCUCUGUCUCAGCCUCUCAGAGUGUUGGGAUUACAGGCGUGAGCCACUGUGCCCAGCCCAGGUUGCCAAUUCUUGCAGGUCUAAGGUCUGUGUAGAAAUGCCAGCUGUUCUCCCUAAGUGGUCUCUGGGAAAAGUCAUCUGCUUCCCCUGCUCUGAACUUCUCCAGAGCUCUGUGGACUGAGAAGGCAAGCCUAGGCCUCCUGACCCUGGAGGCUCCCCUGCCCCAUCACUGACCACUGUAUUCCAGACCAGGAGGCCCUCAAGCCAGCCAGGGCCUCCAACAACUCACCAAUGAAGUCACUGAAGCACUUGGGCUUGUGUUGCCAGUAAACACCGAGGAAAUAGACAGGCACUCCUGUCAGCAUGAUGGCCAGGCCAAUGCCACACACCACAGGCUCCGACCAUAGGCUGAAGACCAGCAGGAAGGCCCAGAACAGCAAGUAGAUGAUGGGGAACAGCAGGUUGAUCUGUGGAGCAGAGGCAGGAGGCAUGUGAAUGGUGUAGGCCCCAUGGCCCCCCGGACUAGGGACUGGGCAUUCUCUCUCUUCUUCACCCACAGAGACACAUCCUCAAGGGCAAAGGCUGGACUUCCUUCAGCUCUGUGGCUCCCAUACCCAUCCCUUAUAGGGCAGGGUCUAUAUCAACAAAUGUUGAUGAACAUGGGUAGUCAGACAGGAAGAGGAUGGGGAGGGGCUAACGAGGAAAGGAUCCUCCUUGCCCAUGUCCUUGCUCCUGAGUGUGAUUAGACAAGGUCUCAUCAUGCAUGUCAUGUGCCCAGGGCAGCCAGAGAAGCCCAUAGAGAUAGAGAAGCUUGCUGGUACAGGGUGUGUGUCUGCUGAGGUCCUAGGGUGGAGGGGAGGUGUAGCAAUGCACAAGGUGCAGAGAGGAGAUGAUCCAAGUCACUCAGGCUCCCUGCUCCUUGCCCACUUCUAUGCAGGGCCCUUAUGUGGGCACAGCAUGGCAAAUGCCAGCCCCUUAUGGGCCACAUGUCGGGAGUUCCUGAGAGUCUCUUCUUCAUGGCUCCAGGGGAAGUCCUGAUUUGGCUGCCUUCUCUUCCUUGUCUUCCUCAUUGAGAAGGGAUGUACGUGAUGGGGACAUGGGGUUAUUCUACCGCCUCUUCCCUCUAGCAGGUUUUCUAAGAGUGAGAGUAGAAAAUGGCGGUGGAAAUGCCAGUAAGGAACUGACAGAUUUAGAGAGCCUUUAAUUUUUCAGCUGGAAGAAUCUAGAAGCAUCUAGUCGCUGUUUCUACAAUAGGAUUGUUCAAAUAGUUCCAGAGUACACUCUAUUCUUCUAAUUUGUAGAACUCACAAUGCUUUAACAUGUCUUGUUUCAAGCAAUCCCAUUAAUUCCUAUCAUAGAGUUAUAUCUUGUAGCAAUAUUAGGUUCACUGAGCACCCUACUACGUGUAGGGCUGUGGGAGUUUAAAAAGAGAAGAUCAUGGAAGGUUGCAGUGGAUUGGAAAACUUCAAGAAAGAGGAAGUACUUGAGGCCCAUUUGGAAAACUGUUAAAAUUUAGAUGGGCAGUUGGGAAGAGGAAACUCAUUCUGGGAUGGAGACACAGCACAGAGCGAACCCAGCUCUCUGGAGGGACAGGGAGGAAGUGCUGGGGAGAUAAGAGAGCCUUGAAAAAUCAGCUGGAGUUUAAGGCUUAGACUGGUAGGAAACAAAGGAAUGACAUGAUGAAAGUAACAUCUGUUCUGACUUAUUCCCCAGCUGCAGUCUGCUCUGGUCUUGUCGCCAGUGGAGAAUGGAAAUUGUGGUCCCAUUCACACAUGGCCCUUGCUUCCCAAAGGAUCUGCUACCAUCUGAGCAGCUAAGAACAGAGGUGAUUUAAAAAUCUGAGCUGCAGCUAGAACCACAGAGAAAGGGGAGGGGACCCCAAAGGGAGGUUCUCUCACCUUGAUGGGACGGGGGAUAUCAGGCUUCUUCCAGCGAAGGACUAUCUGUCCAGCAACCGUGACCCCAUAGAAGAGGUAGUUGAUGAAGCCAACAUAAUUGAUGAGUGU